GGUUCUCUGGUGUAGCUGGUGAGACACGCCGGUCUGAAAAACCGGAAGCUGAGGUUCGAUUCCUCGGGGGACCA
rnacentral:tRNA from 1 species